rnacentral:rRNA from 1 species
AUUGAACGCUGGCGGCAGGCCUAACACAUGCAAGUCGAGCGGAUGAAGGGAGCUUGCUCCUGGAUUCAGCGGCGGACGGGUGAGUAAUGCCUAGGAAUCUGCCUGGUAGUGGGGGAUAACGUCCGGAAACGGGCGCUAAUACCGCAUACGUCAUGAGGGAGAAAGUGGGGGAUCUUCGGACCUCACGCUAUCAGAUGAGCCUAGGUCGGAUUAGCUAGUUGGUGGGGUAAAGGCCUACCAAGGCGACGAUCCGUAACUGGUCUGAGAGGAUGAUCAGUCACACUGGAACUGAGACACGGUCCAGACUCCUACGGGAGGCAGCAGUGGGGAAUAUUGGACAAUGGGCGAAAGCCUGAUCCAGCCAUGCCGCGUGUGUGAAGAAGGUCUUCGGAUUGUAAAGCACUUUAAGUUGGGAGGAAGGGCAGUAAGUUAGUACCUUGCUGUUUUGACGUUACCAACAGAAUAAGCACCGGCUAACUUCGUG